ACGGGAGGCAGCAGUGGGGAAUAUUGCACAAUGGGGGAAACCCUGAUGCAGCGACGCCGCGUGAGCGAUGAAGUAUUUCGGUAUGUAAAGCUCUAUCAGCAGGGAAGAUAAUGACGGUACCUGACUAAGAAGCACCGGCUAAAUACGUGCCAGCAGCCGCGGUAAUACGUAUGGUGCAAGCGUUAUCCGGAUUUACUGGGUGUAAAGGGAGCGUAGGCGGUUUUAUAAGUCUGAAGUGAAAGCCCGGGGCUCAGCCCCGGGACUGCUUUGGAAACUGUAGAACUAGAGUGUCGGAGGGGUAAGUGGAAUUCCUAGUGUAGCGGUGAAAUGCGUAGAUAUUAGGAGGAACACCAGUGGCGAAGGCGGCUUACUGGACGAUUACUGACGCUGAGGCUCGAAAGCGUGGGGAGCAAACAGGAUUAGAUACCCUGGUA
rnacentral:rRNA from 1 species